AGGGUUCUAAGCCAGCCAAUAAUGUCAUGAAAUCGACCACUGUGUCAAUGUUAUGCUUCUGGAUGGCAGUGUCCUUCAGCACACAUAAGACACUCAACCAGCUAAAAGAGAUGAGCUCAGAGAUGUUGGCUCGGAGGAAAAGAAGGAUCACAUUGAGGUCAUUGAUGGGACAUCCCAGCAUUUUUCUGCUGAGGAGAUCAAAAGCUGGGAGCAUCUCAUAUACAGAUAGCAGUCGUUUGUCCCACUGACAUAGUCGUGUGAAGUUGUAUAUUAUCACAGGAACCAACAGGGUGUAUAUUGCUGCACUGGAGAGGCUGACAAUCUGAAAAAUGGAUAGGGAGGUCAGCCUGCAUGUAAUCAGUUCGGGAACGUGAGUUUCAUCAUGUAGUAGCCCUGUCUUGAUGGAGCAGCUGAAUUCUUCUUGGAAGAAGACAUCCAGAUGAAAGUGACCAAGGUACAGCUCAUCCCAGAAGACAUGAGGGUCAGAGCUCUUCUGCCGAAUCUUCAACACGUGCUGCACCAGGCGGAUGGAACGAUUAUAGGAUUUGUCCAGUUCACUGAUGAUGAACAGCAGAUCUGAGCUGAGGGCUGGAACAGCUGCAUACUGCCACAGCAGCACUGGCAGCUGUGAAGCCAGCCUGACAGUCUCUGCUUUACCUUGUGGGGCCAGAGUGAUUUUAUCUUGUCCUGGCCAGCCUCAUCCUGUUCAUGGUGAACCAGUGAGUCCCAACAGGAACUGUCCACGUAUGCAGCCUGCCGGAUACUGAAGUUACUUGGAGAAAAGCAGCUGAUUGGAGACCCUGGAAUAAGAAUACAACUUGGAGGCGAGAAUGGGAACUUGAAGGGGUCAUUAUCUAAGAAUUUUGUAGGGGUAAUCUUCACAACUCUGAAUUAUGUGUCUGGCAGACACUGUCUUCUUCCCAUGCUUUAGUUUUGUGGGCUUGGCACUGCUGUGUCUUGGGAAGACAGGGCAUGAUGGGACAGCACCCUACUGUUGGGUCUUUGCCUAUCAUUGCACUGACUCAGCCUGAUCUGGUGGUUCUUUGCUCUCAAAGUACUCCCCUGGAUUCCCAGGGGAUGGGCUAUCCCUGUACUCCUGCAGUUUCUCACCAGAGGGCUUGCAGUGUGAUGGUAACAUCUCCUUCCUGAAAAAGCUGACAUCUUUUAGAUUCUAAAACAGGAUUGAUUACCUGGACUUCUGAACCCAAAAGAGAAAGGACAGGCAAGUGGUACUGGAAGGAAAGUAGGCUUGGGGGACAGUCACUUACUUUUUGUUUUCCCAUCAUUUUCCAGAAAGAGGCAGAGUGGGGAGCCAAUACCUUUUCCCUUCUUGUGGAUGGUUGUAGGGACAGUGGGAGGUAGGCACAUGUCACUGGGAAAUGUAGUAAGCAAAUGGAAUGGCUAAAAAAGAAAGCCAGAAGUCCCAGUCCUCAGAAAAUCCAUAUUCUCUUUAACAGAGGUAGUGGAUUUUCUGGGUUAAUUCAGUGCUAAAACACUGUAGACCUGCAUGUUAGUGUCCUGUCUGUGACAGGAUUUUGGAGAAAGUAGUAGGCUUAUUUAGCACCUCUGAAUGUGCUAAGGGCUGUAUCAGGCCCUUAACAUAUGUUCUCAAAUCUUGUUCUCAAAUAAUAUAUGUUCUUGGAGGUGAGGGUGGGAAGAAGGCUCAGAGGAAAUAAGACACUUGUCAACAGUGUGGCUAACCCUGAAAAGAUUAUGGGGCCCCAACCUCUAUUAUCUAUAUGCUAACAGAAAUAAAGUUUUAAUUAUGAAAGUAAUAUAAAAUAUAAGAAUAUUGAAAUCAUGAC